UACGGAGGAUCCGAGCGUUAUCCGGAUUUAUUGGGUUUAAAGGGUGCGCAGGCGGGGGAUUAAGUCGGCGGUGAAAUUUUGCAGCUCAACUGUAAAAGUGCCUUCGAAACUGGUUUCCUUGAGUGUAGAUGAAGUAGGCGGAAUUUGUGGUGUAGCGGUGAAAUGCAUAGAUAUCACGAGGAACUCCGAUUGCGCAGGCAGCUUACUAAACCAUAACUGACGCUCAGGCACGAAGGCGUGGGGAUCAAACAGGAUUAGAUACUCGUGUA
rnacentral:rRNA from 1 species